AGUGAACGCUGGCGGUAGGCCUAACACAUGCAAGUCGAACGGCAGCACAGUAAGAGCUUGCUCUUACGGGUGGCGAGUGGCGGACGGGUGAGGAAUACAUCGGAAUCUACUUUUUCGUGGGGGAUAACGUAGGGAAACUUACGCUAAUACCGCAUACGACCUACGGGUGAAAGCAGGGGAUCUUCGGACCUUGCGCGAUUGAAUGAGCCGAUGUCGGAUUAGCUAGUUGGCGGGGUAAAGGCCCACCAAGGCGACGAUCCGUAGCUGGUCUGAGAGGAUGAUCAGCCACCCUGGAACUUGGACACGGUCCCGACUCCUUAGGGAGGCAGCCGUGGGGAAUAUUGGACAAUGGGCGCAAGCCUGAUCCAGCCAUACCGCGUGGGUGAAGAAGGCCUUCGGGUUGUAAAGCCCUUUUGUUGGGAAAGAAAAGCAGCAGGUUAAUACCCCGCUGUUCUGACGGUACCCAAAGAAUAAGCACCGGCUAACUUCGUG
rnacentral:rRNA from 1 species